rnacentral:rRNA from 1 species
UACAGAGGGUGCGAGCGUUAAUCGGAAUUACUGGGCGUAAAGCGCGCGUAGGCGGCUUUGCAAGUCGAGUGUGAAAUCCCCAGGCUUAACCUGGGAACUGCAUUCGAGACUGCAUAGCUAGAGUAUGGGAGAGGGAAGUGGAAUUUCAGGUGUAGCGGUGAAAUUCGUAGAUAUCUGAAGGAACAUCAGUGGCGAAAGCGACUUCCUGGACCAAUACUGACGCUCAUGUGCGAAAGCGUGGGGAGCAAACAGG